AACCUUUCUCGGCCUUUUGGCUAAGAUCAAGUGUAGUAUCUGUUCUUAUCAGUUUAAUAUCUGAUAUGUGAGACAAUGUCUCACAAUGAUGUUAAAUUUAUUUUUCUUGGGGAGAAGUCUAUUAUGGUAGCUUGCUACUAGGGCUUCAAGUGUCGCUCUAGCGUUGCACUAUUGCUUGAGCCUGGCACACCCCUA
rnacentral:snRNA from 2 species